rnacentral:rRNA from 1 species
UGGUGUGAUCAUACCAACAGUAAUGCAGUAGAUUCCAUUAGAACUUCGAAGUUAAGCAUGCUUGGGCAAGAGUAGUACUAGGAUGAGUGUCCUGCUUGGAAGUUUUUGUCUCCACACCCC